ensembl:lncRNA
GCCAAAGUCUAUCCUGGGAGAGAGGGACAAAACAAACAGGAGGGAGCUGGAAAAGGCCAUGCUGCUACUUCUGUCCACUUUUAUAUCCACAAACCAGAUGUUCUGGAGGGGGCUUUCUGGCUGGAUGAGUUCCUAAGGAUGGUUCAGAGUCAGCCACCUGUGCUCCAGGAACCCUUGGUAACAAACUAUAGAGGAAAGAUGUAUAUACUAAAUGACAAGGAGAUGAAUGCUGAAGUUUCCAUGUGCAUUCAAGUGUUUGGUGUUUCUACUCUUCUUCCAUUUGAGAAGACCAUAUAUAUGAUAUUGCUGCCAUUAUAAUGACAUUCUUCAACAAGGAAGAUGCGUCUUUUUAUGGGCAUUGGCACCAUUUACAGGAUCCACAUUUAUGCAAGUCUGUUCUGUAUUUCAUUUAAAUAAAGCCUCCAUAAAAGCUUUGAUCAUU